ensembl:miRNA ocu-mir-21 ocu-mir-21
UAGCUUAUCAGACUGAUGUUGACUGUUGAAUCUCAUGGCAACAGCAGUCGAUGGGCUGUCU